ensembl:lncRNA
AUAAUUGUCAUGUUACUAAAUUGCCACAUUUAAGUUUGUUUUUUCAAUGUAGAUAAAAAGUCAGAUAAAAUCUGUAUGACUAAAGCUAUUGUAUGGGACAGUAUCUGACUGGCCUGAGGUAAGAGUUUUUGCUGUUUAUAGCUGUACAUGCCAAUUAGAUCUCACUGGUUGAACAAAAAACUGUCAGAAGCAGAAUUCACACAUUCACCAUCAUGUGUGAAGACUAUUGUUUGGUAUUGCUGCUUAUGCAUUUGUGAACACUUCACAUGUUCAAUUUGUGAGGAAGUGACACCCUUUCUCACUGCAGUGCACACUUCUACUGUAGCUUCAGUGAUCAGAUGAGACCAUGAGGCUGUUUGGACUGUAUUUCUCUGCUGUCUGGAUAUUGUGCUGCUGCUAUCUUGGCUGUGGCGGAGGUCAAGGUGUGUGCAGUAAAGGGAAGCUUGUUAUAAGAAUCAAUUUAACCACAGAACUGCGUUCUGAAAUCCUGCUGCCGUGCCUUUUUGAACAAGCUCUCACUGGAUCAAACCUGACCAUGAAUCCAGAAGCUGUGUGGACUCAGAUAAAUGAAACCAUUGACCACAUUGUAGAGAUCAAAGUAAAUAAUCCUGUAAAUUUCUGGAAUAGCAGAAACAAUAGAAUUAAGGUAUCCGGUGCUCCUGCCACUGGAAACUUCUCCAUCCUGAUUAGAGAUGUGCAGCUGUCUGAUCUGGGUCUCUACCGCUGUGAACUCUACAGAGAUAACUGUUCUCUGGGCUAUAAAGAGAUAGAAAUCAGUCUGGCUGCUGUUGAAUUUUCACUGCUCUCUAACUGGCAGCUCAUAGUUGCAGGAGGAGGAGGAGGAUUUCUGCUUCUCUGUCUGAUCACUGUGUGUGUUUACUAUACAUGGACAAAACGACAAAUAGUCGAUGGAUCAGUCAACCACACAUCACACAAUAGCCCUGACAGUGAAGGACAAAAAAAUGAUGAAAUAACCUAUGCAUCAGUUGAUUUUAAAUCCCACAACUGCCAUGACAGUGAAGUUCUUCUGAAUAAUAACCCUAUAAAUAGCUCUGCAUCAGAAGACAUUGUCUGCCCAGAGACGGUCAUUUACUCUACCAUCAAGCAAGGAGAGAGAAGAUGAGCAAGUGAGCAACGAAACAUCCAAAUUAAAACACUCAAGAAAAAGAAAAUAUUUUAUGGAACUCCCAUCUUGUAUUGUUUGCUUUGAUUUGACAAGAAAUUAUAUGUUUGAUAAUGUUACAAGAAGUAACAUCAUUUUCUAAAGCACUAUGGAAACCAAAGUAAACUAAUUCAUACCCUUUUCUCUUGAAAAAAAAAAGUAUUAAUAACUACCCUAAAAUUGUGGAAAGAGUCUAAUGUUUGUCCCUCAUGUAUAUCGGCUUUGUCUUUAUCUUUGUUUUUUUUGUUGUUGUUUUUUUGAACAAGGCGGUGUGUUGUUACUGUGGGUGAAGGGUGUGAAAUUGAACUCAGCUACUUUAUCACCUAAACCACUGAUAUCUUUGCAGGCAAUGUGACAGGGCCACACAUGCAACAAUAAGACAGGAUAAACAGUAUAUCUUACAGUAUAAAGAUACUUCAGGCCAAGAUGCUUACAGGAAACUAGAGUGGAAAUUCCCAUAUCCAUGAGCUUCUUCACAAAUAAGCUACAGAUUCUGUUUUGUCACAUAGUGUGAAAAUGUUUUGUGUGAAAAUACACGAGAUUAAGCUCAAUGACGUGUACGUUACAAUUAUUUAAAUUUUUUAAGUAGGCCUACAUUAGAUUUACAGUAGACCUGAUUUGAAAGAACAAUUGCUCAAUCAUUCAAUUCAGAGGCGUUAUGCCCAUUCCACUCGAGCCAAGUGGAUUUUGAAUUCAGCUUACAAAACACAACAACAACAAAUUGCCGAUUAAUAUAUUUUUUUUAAAAUAUUUGAUACGAUAUGUUUGAUUAGAACGUUCAGUGCGUCACGUCACCAGCUGCUAAAUUCAAAUCUGUGUUCGCUGGCUGCCGCUGAGACAGACGCUCUGCGCAUUAUAACCAAUCACACACGAGUCUGAGCUUAUACGCAAUAGCCAAUCAGAGGCAUUCAGAUGAGUCAUCGCUGAAACUCCUGUUUUGUUCAGUGUGUGCGCUCACUUACUGAAUUCUCUCAUUAGAAACAACAAAGUGUAGAUGUGCAUACGAUGUAAGUAACAUAUGCAAUUCCAAAUGUAAACAGCUUCAGUGAUUAUGAUGGGAGUUUUUGAGAGUGCUUGUACUCUGGCUAGACUGAAGUUCUGAUAAUGAAAUCGUGAUCAUUUUCUUUGAUAAUGUAGCCUAAAUGUUCUUUGCUAUCUUUCUGUACAUUGAAAGUGUUCUAAUUAGUAACUUACAAUGUUUUUAUUAAAUUCACUUUAAAUACAAUGUCGGUCGGAUUAAAAAUAUUUUAUGGCAUGACACCAUGCGGUAGUUGAGUAAAAAGACUGAUUUUAUGUGUAGUUAAUAGAUCCAGUGGCGUUUCGUCUAUAUAAGCUGUGAAUGCUCUGCAUACCCAGGACAUUUGAGAGAAUAAGUUCACGGGAUAAUUCAUAUAAACAUGAUUAUAUAAUGAAAAUGUACAGGACAAAUUAAAAUAUUUUAUAUAUAUAUAUUUUUUUUUUAAGAAUUAAAAAUAAUCAGAUUUUGAGUAAUGAACACAUUGCAACCAAGCUUGGGAUGGCCCACAUAAAUGAGCAAAAAUGUUUUACAUUUCUUAAAAUAAUACCUUUUGAACAUUAAACACUGACUGUCAGACUUUAUGAAGCUCCAUUCCCGCAUCCGUGUCCGCGCCCACCCUCGCCUCAUGUUUGCAGUCGACUGCAAAUGAUCAUAAUUGAUGGACAACUAUGCCCGGGGAAAAAAAAAAACAUAAGCAGCCUGGCGCAGAGAAAAGAAAAGUAAAAAAGCUCAAGAUGAAGCCCGUGCAUCACUUUCAGUUAGGCUACGUUAAUAAUCCUGUGAAACUUUUUUGGCUGUUGACGUUCAUAACGUUUAUUAACGUUAAUUAAUGUUUUAAUUAUCGUAUGAUAAGCUUAUUGAUGACUUUGCCUCCAAGUGUGCUUUUGUAAAUUUUGAAAUUCGGAAUGCUCCAGCAGAUGACGUAUAUCAGUGUUGAUUUUCGGAGUGUCUAUAUACACUAAGUGCAAAUCGCCCACCUUGUUGGCAGAAGCUAUUUACACUAACUCCGCCCACCUACGUGUGAUUGGUAUAGUCAACACUACAAAAGACUAAUAGCAAACAAUAUUGACGCGAUCCACCCGAGGAUAUAAGGAAAUAACCUGUUUUUAUACAGUCUAUGGAAAUAACCGACAGGUUGAAAAUAAAGUAUCGGGUAGGGUAAGGGUAGGUGUAGGG